rnacentral:rRNA from 1 species
UGCUGGAAUGCACCGAGGUCGAAAGCUCCGGCGCCUAAGGAUGGGUCUGCGGCCUAUCAGGUAGUAGUGGGUGUAGCGUACCUACUAGCCUACGACGGGUACGGGUUGUGAGAGCAAGAGCCCGGAGAUGGAUUCUGAGACACGAAUCCAGGCCCUACGGGGUGCAGCAGGCGCGAAAACUUUACAAUGCUGGCAACAGCGAUAAGGGAACCUCGAGUGCCAGGUUACAAAUCUGGCUGUCGAGAUGCCUAAAAAGCAUUUCAUAGCAAGGGCCGGGCAAGACCGGUGCCAGCCGCCGCGGUAACACCGGCGGCUCGAGUGGUAACCGUUAUUAUUGGGUCUAAAGGGUCUGUAGCCGGCCGGAUAAGUCUCUUGAGAAAUCUGGCAGCUUAACUGUCAGGCUUUCAGGAGAUACUGUCUGGCUCGAGGCCGGGAGAGGUGAGAGGUACUUCAGGGGUAGGGGUGAAAUCUUGUAAUCCUUGAAGGACCACCAGUGGCGAAGGCGUCUCACCAGAACGGACCUGACGGCAAGGGACGAAAGCUAGGGGCACGAACCGGAUUAGAUACCCGGGUAGUCCUAGCCGUAAACGAUACUCGCUAGGUGUCGGCCACGGUGCGACCGUUGUCGGUGCCGUAGGGAAGCCGUGAAGCGAGCCACCUGGGAAGUACGGCCGCAAGGCUGAAACUUAAAGGAAUUGGCGGGGGGGCACCACAACGGGUGGAGCCUGCGGUUUAAUCGGACUCAACGCCGGAAAUCUCACCGG